rnacentral:rRNA from 3 species
UAGUGGCAGACGGGUGAGUAAUGUAUAGGAAUCUACCUAGUAGUACGGAAUAAUUGUUGGAAACGACAACUAAUACCGUAUACGCCCUACGGGGGAAAAAUUUAUUGCUAUUAGAUGAGCCUAUAUUAGAUUAGCUAGUUGGUGGGGUAAUAGCCUACCAAGGUAAUGAUCUAUAGCUGAUCUGAGAGGAUGAUCAGCCACACUGGAACUGAGAUACGGUCCAGACUCCUACGGGAGGCAGCAGUGGGGAAUAUUGGACAAUGGGCGAAAGCCUGAUCCAGCCAUGCCGCAUGAGUGAAGAAGGCCUUUGGGUUGUAAAGCUCUUUUAGUGAGGAAGAUAAUGACGGUACUCACAGAAGAAGUCCUGGCUAACUCCGUGCCAGCAGCCGCGGUAAUACGGAGAGGGCUAGCGUUAUUCGGAAUUAUUGGGCGUAAAGGGCGCGUAGGCUGGUUAAUAAGUUAAAAGUGAAAUCCCGAGGCUUAACCUUGGAAUUGCUUUUAAAACUAUUAAUCUAGAGAUUGAAAGAGGAUAGAGGAAUUCCUGAUGUAGAGGUAAAAUUCGUAAAUAUUAGGAGGAACACCAGUGGCGAAGGCGUCUAUCUGGUUCAAAUCUGACGCUGAAGCGCGAAGGCGUGGGGAGCAAACAGGAUUAGAUACCCUGGUAGUCCACGCUGUAAACGAUGAAUGUUAAAUAUGGGGAGUUUACUUUCUGUAUUACAGCUAACGCGUUAAACAUUCCGCCUGGGGACUACGGUCGCAAGAUUAAAACUCAAAGGAAUUGACGGGGACCCGCACAAGCGGUGGAGCAUGUGGUUUAAUUCGAUGCAACGCGAAAAACCUUACCACUCCUUG